rnacentral:rRNA from 1 species
CAGCCGCCGCGGUAAUACGUAGGGUGCGAGCGUUAAUCGGAAUUACUGGGCGCAAAGCGUGCGCAGGCGGUUGUGUAAGACAGGUGUGAAAUCCCCGGGCUUAACCUGGGAACUGCGCUUGUGACUGCACAGCUAGAGUAUGGCAGAGGGGGGUGGAAUUCCACGUGUAGCAGUGAAAUGCGUAGAGAUGUGGAGGAACACCGAUGGCGAAGGCAGCCCCCUGGGCCAAUACUGACGCUCAUGCACGAAAGCGUGGGGAGCAAACAGGAUUAGAUACCCGAGUAGUCCCUGUCUCUUAUAC